rnacentral:lncRNA from 1 species
UGGUGAAUUCAAAAUCAAAAAUAAUUUAUCAACACAAAUCAUAACAUUCAACACUGUAUUGUUAUACAUAACAGAUCAGUAAGACAAUUCCACUUCUGUAAUAUUUCUCCCACGCAAAACAAAUAAGAGAUUGGUUACUUUACUUAUAUAUAAGCAUCUUAUAUAUAGAUUAAAAGAAAUCAUGAAUACACAAGAAUCACAUAAAAAAAUAAAACUUAAAUUUCAUAAAAGGACAUAAAAGAUGCGAAACUUUAAGAGAAAACAAAAAAUACAGCUGCAAUUCCAUCUAAAUUCCUAACUAAAUAACUUGUCAAUUAAUUUCUAACUAAAACAUGCAUGUAUAAAUCAUAGACAGUGAACUUUGAGUAUAAACUUCAAAUAAUUAGUAACAUUCUAACCAUAUUUGUAUAAGUAAUAAAAUAUACUUGGAAUUAAAGUCGGCUUUCAUGAAUAAGUUGCCUGGCUUCAGCCUGUGUGCCGUGAUUCAGAAGAUUGAGAAAAAAACUAAUCAUAGAAUCAUCAUCUUCAUCUUCAUCUUCACCAUGUUUUCUUCCAUCUCUGGAUUUGGAUCCAUCGUAGUAGGUAGAUAGUUUUAGCCAUGGGGUGUAUAGUAUAUUAUUAGUAUAUACAUAUAGGAAGAAAAUGGGUGAUUAAUAUUACUUUUAGCUUCAUAUAUGAAGUAUAAUGGAUCACACCUAUUCAACUCUAACUUUUGUUCUUUGACUCAACUCUUCCAUUUCUAAAUAGCCUAACAAGUAAUCAUACAAGUUUAAGUGGGUGAGACUUCUUUCAUUCUUAAUGGGGAAUAGACAAAUUUUUGUAAAUAGCAUUUGAGGUGGGUCAAAGUUGUGAAACUAGUCAACUAGGGUUUGAU